rnacentral:snRNA from 1 species
GUGCUCACUUCAGCAGCACAUGAUUACUAAAAUUGUAAUGAUACAGAGAAGCAUUAGCAUGGCCCCUGCACAAGGAUGGCACGUAAAUUUGUGAAGUGUUCCAUAUUGUC